CCUACGGGUGGCUGCAGUGGGGAAUAUUGCACAAUGGGGGAAACUCUGAUGCAGCGACGCCGCGUGAGUGAAGAAGUAAUUCGUUAUGUAAAGCUCUAUCAGCAGGGAAGAAAAUGACGGUACUUGAGUAAGAAGCCGCGGCUAACUACGUGCCAGCAGCCGCGGUAAUACGUCGGAGGCAAGCGUUAUCCGGAUUGACUGGGUGUAAGGGGAGCGUAGACGGUAGUGCAAGUCUGGAGUGAAAGGCGGAGGCUCAACCCCCGAACUGCUCUGGAAACUGUUCGCCUGGAGUGCAGGAGAGGUAAGUGGAAUUCCUAGUGUAGCGGUGGAAUGCGUAGAUAUUAGGAGGAACACCAGUGGCGAAGGCGGCUUACUGGACUGUAACUGACGUUGAGGCUCGAAAGCGUGGGGAGCAAACAGGAUUAGAUACCCGAGUAGUC
rnacentral:rRNA from 1 species